rnacentral:rRNA from 1 species
UGGGGAAUAUUGCACAAUGGGCGCAAGCCUGAUGCAGCAACGCCGCGUGAGGGACGACGGCCUUCGGGUUGUAAACCUCUUUUGGCAGGGAAGAAGCGAAAGUGACGGUACCUGCAGAAAAAGCACCGGCUAACUACGUGCCAGCAGCCGCGGUGAUACGUAGGGUGCAAGCGUUGUCCGGAAUUAUUGGGCGUAAAGAGCUCGUAGGCGGUUUGUCGCGUCUGCUGUGAAAACCCGAGGCUCAACCUCGGGCCUGCAGUGGGUACGGGCAAACUAGAGUGCGGUAGGGGAGAUUGGAAUUCCUGGUGUAGCGGUGAAAUGCGCAGAUAUCAGGAGGAACACCGAUGGCGAAGGCAGAUCUCUGGGCCGUAACUGACGCUGAGGAGCGAAAGCAUGGGGAGCGAACA